AUGUAAAUGCCUACAACAUAGCAUUAAUGCACCAGAUCACAUUAGAAAUCCACAGUUAAGCACACUUAGGCUAUGGUACUGGGAUGGGUGACCUCCUAGAAAGUCCUAGUAUUUUACAUG
rfam:Picea glauca, whole genome shotgun sequence.